CACGUAGGGCGCAAGCGUUGUCCGGAAUUAUUGGGCGUAAAGAGCUCGUAGGCGGCCUGUCGCGUCGACCGUGAAAACCCGCAGCUCAACUGCGGGCUUGCGGUCGAUACGGGCAGGCUGGAGUUCGGUAGGGGAGACUGGAAUUCCUGGUGUAGCGGUGAAAUGCGCAGAUAUCAGGAGGAACACCGGUGGCGAAGGCGGGUCUCUGGGCCGAUACUGACGCUGAGGAGCGAAAGCGUGGGGAGCGAACAGG
rnacentral:rRNA from 1 species